rnacentral:misc_RNA from 1 species
AUAAAUGCAAGCUGGAAACAUGAAAGGUAUGGAAUUUUUUGGAGUCCUUGCAUUUAUCGUAAACAAAAUACAGAUUUGGCUUCAGAUACAUUAAAUUACCUGAUUUGAUACCAAGAUUUACAGUUCAUAGCAUGACCCAGGACCAAUAGGAGGUUGUCGGGCAUAAAAAUUUUCAACAGGAGCAGCUUGAACUCCACGCCUAUUCAAUAGGCAUCUGAAGUAGUGCAAGCGGGGUAAAGCCGUUAAGNNNNNNNNNNNCUUCUACCCCAAAAGCGUCCUGCGGCAGCUGCUGCACGAGGCCAUAUUGUUUGCUGAAUAUUUGAGGUAUCAGCUAUCUCAGCCCACAUGCAAACUUCUCC